UGUGGGAGCUGGCUUGCCUGCGAUAGCGACGGCUCAGUGAGUAAAGCGUUCACAGACAGACCGCUAUCGCAGGCAAGCCAGCUCCCACA
rnacentral:misc_RNA from 1 species